rnacentral:rRNA from 1 species
UACGUAGGGUGCAAGCGUUGUCCGGAAUUAUUGGGCGUAAAGAGCUCGUAGGCGGCUUGUCGCGUCGGAUGUGAAAGCCCGGGGCUUAACUCCGGGUCUGCAUUCGAUACGGGCAGGCUAGAGUUCGGUAGGGGAGAUCGGAAUUCCUGGUGUAGCGGUGAAAUGCGCAGAUAUCGGGAGGAACACCAGUAGCGAAGGCGGCACUCUGGGCCGGUACUGACGCUGAGGAGCGAAAGCGUGGGGAGCGAACAGG